CCAAUAGCGUAUAUUAAAGUUGUUGCAGUUAAAAAGCUCGUAGUUGAAUUUCGGGGUUCUUCCGUUGGUCGGGCUAUCCAGUCUGUACUAGCGUGUAGAAUUCCUACCUUCUGGGGAACCAUCAUGUUAUUAAUUUAGCGUGGUGGGAAACCAGGACCUUUACCUUGAAAAAAUUAGAGUGUUCAAAGCAGGCUUACGUCUGAAUACAUUAGCAUGGAAUAAUAGAAUAGGACGGUGGUCCUGUUUUGUUGGUUUCUGAAUCACCGUAAUGAUUAAUAGGGAUAGUUGGGGGCAUUAGUAUUCAAUUGUCAGAGGUGAAAUUCUUGGAUUUAUUGAAGACUAACUUCUGCGAAAGCAUUUGCCAAGGAUGUUUUCGUUAAUCAAGAACGAAAGUUAGGGGAUCGAAGACGAUCAGAUACCGUCGUAGUCUUAACCAUGAACUAUGCCGACUAGGGAUCGGACGAUGUUAAAUUUUAUUGACUCGUUCGGCGCCUUACG
rnacentral:rRNA from 1 species